GACGAACGCUGGCGGCGUGCUUAACACAUGCAAGUCGAACGAUGACGACCGAGCUUGCUCGGUCUGAUUAGUGGCGAACGGGUGAGUAACACGUGAGCAACCUGCCCUUCACUCUGGGAUAACCUCGGGAAACCGGGGCUAAUACCGGACAUGAGCUCCUGUCGCAUGGCGGGUGUUGGAAAGUUUUUCGGUGUAGGAUGGGCUCGCGGCCUAUCAGUUUGUUGGUGGGGUAGUGGCUCACCAAGGCGAUGACGGGUAGCCGGCCUGAGAGGGCGACCGGCCACACUGGGACUGAGACACGGCCCAGACUCCUACGGGAGGCAGCAGUGGGGAAUAUUGCACAAUGGGCGGAAGCCUGAUGCAGCGACGCCGCGUGAGGGAUGACGGCCUUCGGGUUGUAAACCUCUUUCAGCAGGGAAGAAGCGAAAGUGACGGUACCUGCAGAAGAAGCGCCGGCUAACUACGUG
rnacentral:rRNA from 1 species